rnacentral:lncRNA from 1 species
GAUUGGAUUUGUUGUGGGGUAUGCGGUGGUGGCUGCAUAGGCGUUAAAUAAAACUCCUCAUAUUGCUACCAAUAUCCAUCUUGUUGAGCCUCCUUGUCUUGAUUUUGUGAGCCCUGCACCAAAGAAUUUAAUUCAUUAAGAAUUUGAUUAUAAUUUAUUGACGAACCUGAGUUUGAUUGAGCAUAUUGCAUAUGUUUUGAAUAGAAAUCCUCCUCUUGCUGCCAAUAUCCCUCUUGUUGGAAUUGUUGAGGUUCCCCCCA